AAGUCAGUUGUGAAAGCCUUCCGCUUAACGGAAGAACGGCAUCUGAUACUACAGGGCUUGAGUACGGGAGGGGAGAGUGGAACUUCUGGUGGAGCGGUGAAAUGCGUAGAUAUCAGAAGGAACACCGGCGGCGAAAGCGACUCUCUGGUCCGAAACUGACGCUGAGUGUGCGAAAGCUAGGGGAGCAAACGGGAUUAGAUACCCCGGUAGUCCUAGCCGUAAACGAU
rnacentral:rRNA from 1 species